UACGUAGGGGGCUAGCGUUGUCCGGAAUCAUUGGGCGUAAAGAGCGCGUAGGCGGCUAGAUAAGUCCGGUGUGAAAGUCACAGGCUCAACCUGUGAAUGCCGCUGGAAACUGUCUGGCUAGAGUCCGGAAGGGGCGAGUGGAAUUCCUGGUGUAGCGGUGAAAUGCGCAGAUAUCAGGAGGAACACCAAUGGCGAAGGCAGCUCGCUGGGACGGUACUGACGCUGAGGCGCGAAAGCGUGGGGGAGCAAACAGG
rnacentral:rRNA from 1 species